CACCAACAAAAACCCUGUGCCUUUUCCUCAAAUGCAGAUGACCUGUACUCCAAACAGCUAUUAGAACCAAAUGGGAUUUUAAAAGUCAGAAAGAGAACAGUCUGAUCAGAGUCACUUCUCCAGCAUGCCCAGAAGACUGAGGCCCACAACCCACUUUCAGAAUUCAAAAGGCUGAACCAUUAGGGACAAGAAAGGUGAGCAAUGGUUGUUCCCAAAUUUAAGCUCCUGCAUCCAAAUAUGAAAGUCUACAGGCUACGAGAUAGCAACCUUCACAUCCUUGUUGCACGUGUGCCAGAAAAG
rnacentral:lncRNA from 1 species